GUAUAGGCCUACAACUUAGCGUUAAUGCAUCAGAUCCCAUUAGAACUCCGUAGUUAAGCGUGCUUGGGUUAGAGUAGUAUUGGAAUGGGUGACCGCUCGGGAAGUCCUAGUAUUUUUCAUGCC
rnacentral:rRNA from 1 species